AGGAGGAGGAGGAGGAGGAAGACAAAGAAGAAGAAGAAGAAGAAGAAGAAGAAGAAGAAGAAGAAGAAGAAGAAGAAGAAGAAGAAGAAGAAAUCAAGACAAAACAAAAUAAAACAAAAACUUUAAAUUUAAAAAUCUUUCAAACUAUAGGGAAUAAAAACAAAAUGGUCAAUCUCAGUAGACUGCCUAGUAAAGAGAAUUGCAAGUGA
rnacentral:lncRNA from 1 species